AACGAACGCUGGCGGCAGGCCUAACACAUGCAAGUCGAGCGAAGCCUUCGGGCUUAGCGGCGGACGGGUGAGUAACGCGUGGGAACGUGCCCUUUGCUACGGAAUAGCCCCGGGAAACUGGGAGUAAUACCGUAUGUGCCCUUCGGGGGUAAGAUUUAUCGGCAAAGGAUCGGCCCGCGUUGGAUUAGGUAGUUGGUGGGGUAAUGGCCUACCAAGCCGACGAUCCAUAGCUGGUUUGAGAGGAUGAUAAGCCACACUGGGACUGAGACACGGCCCAGACUCCUACGGGAGGCAGCAGUGGGGAAUCUUAGACAAUGGGGGAAACCCUGAUCUAGCCAUGCCGCGUGAUCGAUGAAGGCCUUAGGGUUGUAAAGAUCUUUCAGUGGGGAAGAUAAUGACUGUACCCACAGAAGAAGCCCCGGCUAACUCCGUGCCAGCCGCCGCGGUAAAAC
rnacentral:rRNA from 1 species